UACGUGAGCCCCAAGCGUUAUCCGGAAUUACUGGGCGUAAAGAGUGCGUAGGCGGUCGUGUUAGUCUUCUGUUCAAUCCAUCGGCUCAACCGGUGAACCGCAGAGGAAACGGCACGACUGGAGUGUGUGAGAGGUUUGCGGAACUCAUGGUGUAGGGGUGAAAUCCGUUGAUAUCAUGGGGAACACCAAAUGCGAAGGCAGCAAACUGGCGCAUCACUGACGCUGAGGCACGAAAGCGUGGGUAGCGAAUGGG
rnacentral:rRNA from 1 species